AUGUGACGGUGAUCUGCCUGUGACACCUGUCACCCCUUUGAUUACCAGGCUUGAUUCAGCUGAUUUGGCUGGCUACUCGUGUGCCCCUGCCCCCAUCAUCGCUCCAUGAACGUCCAUCCCAAAGCUGCUUUCUGUCAAUGAAGAUGACCAUCCCAGCUGCAGCAUGACCAUGCCUCCAUCGAAGAUAUACUGGUAGCUGCACUCUAGUAUUAGGUCCUCCACACAAGUUCUCAAGGAGACAGUAUUUAAAAGCAUUACAAAGUUAAUGAUAACCGUACAACAUAAAACCAGAAGGAAAGAUGUUCUAUGGACCAUUGUUUCAGUUU
rnacentral:snRNA from 1 species